GGAAAGGAUGCUCUUGUAAAUCAUUAUUAUUUUAUGUUCCUAAAAAGAAUAUGCGAAUGUUUGCAGCAGGGAAAAUGCAGACAAGCACUCGGAGUUCUCCACGGAAAUGAUGAUGCAGGCCCCUGGAAAAUGCCGACUGUCUUCUCCUCUGUCCAGCCUGCCCGUCUAGCCAUGCUUUUUAGGAUCAGCUUAAAAGACCGGCAAGAAACAGAAGGCCUUCCACAGUUCAUACCAAGUGCAAUCCUCCAAUUUCUUCCUCUGUCUUACCUGCUGUCUGCUGGCCUCCACAUACACUUCACCGGGAUCAUGUCUGCAAGUAAAGGCUCCUCUUCAGCUUGACUGUGGACAUAUCCUUACACCCCACCUCUCAGAACUUCUUUGUAAAAAUGUAUAUUCUAAUGAAGUUGUGAAACAAGAGCUUAUGGAAUCAGAACACUGAUGUCUACAGCUUUCAUUACUUCAGUAGUUACACCAGAGAGAAAGAUCACUCCCAAUGUGCAGCCAGGCCGAGAUGGCUAUUCUUCAUUUUGCCUUCAUCUUUGAAGACCUGGAAACUUCUUUUUGUCCUCACAAUGACAUUGGCUGGGCAAAUGCAUACAGAUGGCAAUGUCCUGUGCUAGGUAUAGCUGCUCUCUAUCCCCUCACAUUAAAGAGGCAGAAGGGACCAGCAGCUUCCUGCCACAUAGAACGUGGGAAGAGGAGAAAGGACAUAAAGUUCUAGUAAUGCCCCUGCUGCAGAGAAUGUGGAACUUCAUGCAGAAGGAAAAAGUCAGGCUGAUGGAAUCCCAUCUGUACAAAUUAAGAUCUCUUUUGUGAGAAAAGAAGUUUUGGUAUAACUCGUGAUCUGGGCUUUACACUUUUAAUUUCGGGAAACAAGCAAACCUAUUUGUAUCUUAACUAAAACUGUGUUUAAAAGCUGCCAUGAAAGCCCUUGUACUUGAGGAAGAAAGAAGAUACAGUUCUUAGAGGACCCUGGUUAGAGUCUCCUCCAGCAUUCUGUGUUCAAUAGACCUGUCUAUCCUGUGUUUUGGCAACCAACCAAAGACCAGAUGCAAAGUAAAGAUGCUAGGAAGAGGGACUAGCCACUGAGGAAACAAUUCCAUCAGAUUGGCCUGUGGGCUUGUCAGCAGGCAUUUUCUUGAUUAAUGAUCAAUGUGGAAGGGUCAACUCCACUGUGGGUGGUGCCACCUGCAUGCAGGUGGUCCUGGAGUAUAUAAGAACACAGGGUGAGCAAGCAUAAGAAGCAGGCUUGUGAGCAGCACUCCUCCAUAGUCUGCUUCAGCUCCUGCCUCCAGGUUCCUGUUUAAGUCCCUGUCCUGACUACUUUCAGUAAUGAACUGUGAUACAUAACUGUACCAUGAAAUAAACCCUUUCCUCUCCUAGUUGGCUUUGGUCA
rnacentral:lncRNA from 1 species